AAGAUGCUGAUCCUCCAGCUGACUGUGCCUAAGCUGCCUAUGGGACUCAUCUGGAAUACCAUUUUCAAGAGUAUUGUCAAGCUAAAUAUGCUACAACAAGAUCCGGUAUUGUCUCAGCCCUCUCCAGAUAUGCAAGGAGUUAUCUGCAAUUCAGUCCAUUUAUCUUCCAACACUGGCUCUUCUGCUGCAGUUUUCCAUUUCAUGUGAUCCAUUAAAAGUCUAUUAUGUGAUAUUUA